rnacentral:rRNA from 1 species
CUUUCAACAACGGAUCUCUUGGUUCCGGCAUCGAUGAAGAACGCAGCGAAAUGCGAUAACUAAUGUGAAUUGCAGAAUUCAGUGAAUCAUCGAGUCUUUGAACGCACAUUGCGCCCUCUUGUAUUCCGGAGGGCAUGCCUGUCCGAGCGUCAUUGCU